GACGAACGCUGGCGGCGUGCUUAACACAUGCAAGUCGAACGGAAAGGCCCCCACUUUUUUGGUGGGGGUGCUCGAGUGGCGAACGGGUGAGUAACACGUGGGUGAUCUGCCCUGUACCUCGGGAUAAGCUUGGGAAACUGGGUCUAAUACCGGAUAGGACCAUGGUUUAGUGUCUCAUGGUGGAAAAAUUAUUGUUUUGGUGCAGGAUGAGCUCGCGGCCUAUUAGCUUGUUGGUGGGGUAAUGGCCUACCAAGGCGUCGACGGGUAGCCGGACUGAGAGGGUGGACGGCCACAUUGGGACUGAGAGACGGCCCAGACUCCGACGGGAGGCAGCAGUGGGGAAUAUUGCACAAUGGGCGCAAGCCUGAGGCAGCGACGCCGCGUGGGGGAUGACGGCCUUCGGGUUGUAAACUCCUUUCGUUAGGGACGAAGCCGCACCUUUUUUGGGUGUGGUGACGGUACCUUUGUUAAGAAGCACCGGCUAACUACGUG
rnacentral:rRNA from 1 species